ensembl:lncRNA
CCCUACAAUCUUUUUUUUUUUUUUUUUUUUUUUAAUGUAUUUUCUAAGAGGUACAACAAGGGCUAAAUAGCACCACAAUCAUGAAACCAGACUUAAACUUUAACAAGCUCAGGUACAAACACACUUAAACACCAGAGGUCAGAGUUACUGUUUCUGAUCAAUCUGAUCAAAAUUUUGCUGAGGUGAAAGGAAAUACAGUGUGAACAGAAUCAGGCGAGUCCACUUCACUCAGGCUGCAACAAAUCUCUCAAAAUGAAGUAUGAAGGUGUUGAAGUUCACAGCUGACAUAAUGACAUGGUGUCUGUAGCACACAGCUUGUUUUGAUAUAAGCAGUCUACCCUAUAUUUAGCUCGUCAUGCUACAUAUGUGAUUAGCAAAGCUACAUAUGUCAUUAGCUAAGGACGCUAGGCCUUCGACCUACGCCAUAGUUUACACCAGUCAUUAGCUGAGCGUUAGGUCUUCAUUUUCACCAUCGCUGUGAAUUGGUUUAGUGUGUUAGCCCUUCAUCUAACAUCAGUGAUUAGCUUAGAUAGUGGUAGCUUCUAAUUCUAUGUGUGUUAGUGUUUUAUUCUACAUUAGCGAUUACCUCAGAGUGUUAGUGUUUUAUUCUACAUUAGAGAUUACCUCAGUGUUAGUGUUUUAUUCUACAUUUGCGAUUACCUCAUUAGUGAUUACCUCAGUGUUAGUGUUUUAUUCUACAUUAGAGACUACCUCAGAGUGUUAGUGUUAUAUUCUACAUUAGAGAUUACCUCAGUGUUAGUAUUUUAUUCUACAUUAGAAAUUACCUCAGAGUGUUAGUGUUUUAUUCUACAUUAGAGAUUACCUCAGAGUGUUAUGUUUUUUUUCUACAUCAGUUAUUAGCAUAGCCUGUUAGCAUUUCCUACCUCAGCCAUAAGGGGCUUAAAAUGGUGUCAAAUGCAUCAUAGGCACUUGAAUUUACUGUGUUCCUUGUUUCUCAAAAGAGUUUCUCAAGGCUUGGUUUUGUUUCUAUAUGUGCAGUAGAAAAACUGCCCUAACUGGACUUUGUGCAUUGUUUACCACUGACCUGUGAGGUGAUGUUAUCUCCUUAUUCCACGCUCAUAUCUAAUCUAACCCUCAUUUUUCAAAGUUUUGCAACAAGUAUUGUUAUCGGAAUUGAUCACUAAUGUCAUAUCAGAAAUCGCAGGCCAGUAUGUUGAAAUCCGUGUGUGUGUGUGAGAGUGUGUGUGUGAAGCUCAUGUUCUUAUGCGCCUGUUUUUCUUUAAAAACAAUGAUCUCACUUUUCCGAGAAUCCUGGCUCUGGGUUUGCGUCUGUGUGUUUUAUCACAUGUUCCCUCUUGUCUGAUCUAUAAUCAGUGUCAGUUCCAUAAAAUCUUCAAGCAGGCCCC